GGUGAACGCUGGCGGCGUGCCUAAUACAUGCAAGUCGAGCGAACGGACGAGAAGCUUGCUUCUCUGAUGUUAGCGGCGGACGGGUGAGUAACACGUGGAUAACCUACCUAUAAGACUGGGAUAACUUCGGGAAACCGGAGCUAAUACCGGAUAAUAUUUUGAACCGCAUGGUUCAAAAGUGAAAGACGGUCUUGCUGUCACUUAUGGAUGGAUCCGCGCUGCAUUAGCUAGUUGGUAAGGUAACGGCUUACCAAGGCAACGAUGCAUAGCCGACCUGAGAGGGUGAUCGGCCACACUGGAACUGAGACACGGUCCAGACUCCUACGGGAGGCAGCAGUAGGGAAUCUUCCGCAAUGGGCGAAAGCCUGACGGAGCAACGCCGCGUGAGUGAUGAAGGUCUUCGGAUCGUAAAACUCUGUUAUUAGGGAAGAACAUAUGUGUAAGUAACUGUGCACAUCUUGACGGUACCUAAUCAGAAAGCCACGGCUAACUACGUG
rnacentral:rRNA from 1 species